rnacentral:rRNA from 1 species
GACGAACGCUGGCGGCGUGCCUAAUACAUGCAAGUCGAACGAACCGCGACUAGGUGCUUGCACUUGGUCAAGGUGAGUGGCGAACGGGUGAGUAACACGUGGGUAACCUACCUCAUAGUGGGGGAUAACAGUCGGAAACGACUGCUAAUACCGCAUAGGACAUAGGAUCACAUGAUCCAGUGAGGAAAGGUGGCGCAAGCUAUCGCUAAGAGAUGGACCCGCGGUGCAUUAGCUAGUUGGUAGGGUAAAGGCAUACCAAGGCGAUGAUGCAUAGCCGACCUGAGAGGGUGAUCGGCCACAUUGGGACUGAGACACGGCCCAAACUCCUACGGGAGGCAGCAGUAGGGAAUCAUCCGCAAUGGACGCAAGUCUGACGGAGCAACGCCGCGUGAGUGAAGAAGGUCUUCGGAUCGUAAAGCUCUGUUGUUAGAGAAGAACAGCGCAUAGAGUAACUGUUAUGCGUGUGACGGUAUCUAACCAGAAAGCCACGGCUAACUACG